UACGUAGGGGGCAAGCGUUGUCCGGAAUCAUUGGGCGUAAAGCGCGUGUAGGCGGCUCGAUAAGUCUGCUGUGAAAGUUCAGGGCUCAACCCUGAAAUGCCGGUGGAAACUGUCGAGCUAGAGUCCGGAAGAGGUGAGUGGAAUUCCUGGUGUAGCGGUGAAAUGCGCAGAUAUCAGGAGGAACACCAAUGGCGAAGGCAGCUCACCGGGACGGUACUGACGCUGAGACGCGAAAGCGUGGGGAGCAAACAGG
rnacentral:rRNA from 1 species